UACGGAGGGUGCGAGCGUUGUUCGGAAUCACUGGGCGUAAAGCGCACGUAGGCGGAUUUGUAGGUCAGGGGUGAAAUCCCGGGGCUCAACCUCGGAACUGCCUUUGAUACUGCAAAUCUCGAGUCCGAUAGAGGUGGGUGGAAUUCCUAGUGUAGAGGUGAAAUUCGUAGAUAUUAGGAAGAACACCGGUGGCGAAGGCGGCCCACUGGAUCGGUACUGACGCUGAGGUGCGAAAGCGUGGGGAGCAAACAGG
rnacentral:rRNA from 1 species